GGGGGGGGGGGGGGGGGGGGGGGGGGGGUGCGGGGGGGGGGGGGGGGGGGGGCUGGCGGCGGGAUUGAGCGGCGGAGGGGUGAGGGAUGCGUAGGGAUGUGGGUGGGGGUGGGGGAUAACGUCGGGGAACGGGCGCUCAUACGGCAUACGUCGUGAGGGGGUCAGGGGGGGGUCGUGGGACAUCCCGCUCGCAGGUGCGCCUCGGUCGGAUUAGCUAGUUGGGGGGGUACAGGCCUACCAAGGCGACGAUCCGUAACUGGUCUGGGAGGAUGAUCAGUCACACUGAAACUGAGACACGGUCCACACUCCUACGGGAGGCAGCAGUGGGGAAUAUUGGACAAUGGGCGAAAGCCUGAUCCAGCCAUGCCGCGUGUGUGAAGAAGGUCUUCGGAUUGUAAAGCACUUUAAGUUGGGAGGAAGGGCAGUAAGUUAAUACCUUGCUGUUUUGACGUUACCAACAGAAUAAGCACCGGCUAACUUCGUGC
rnacentral:rRNA from 1 species